rnacentral:tRNA from 1 species
GGAGAGGUGUCCGAGCGGCCGAAGGAGCACGACUGGAAAUCGUGUAGACGUUCAAAGCGUCUCGAGGGUUCAAAUCCCUCCCUCUCCGCCA